rnacentral:rRNA from 1 species
GAUGAACGCUGGCGGCGUGCUUAACACAUGCAAGUCGAACGGUAAGGCCCUUCGGGGUACACGAGUGGCGAACGGGUGAGUAACACGUGGGUGAUCUGCCCUGCACUUCGGGAUAAGCCUGGGAAACUGGGUCUAAUACCGGAUAGGACUCCGGACUGCAUGGUCGGGGGUGGAAAGCUUUUGCGGUGUGGGAUGGGCCCGCGGCCUAUCAGCUGGUUGGGGGGGUGAUGGCCUACCAAGGCGACGACGGGUAGCCGGCCUGAGAGGGUGACCGGCCACACUGGGACUGGGACACGGACCAGACUCCUACGGGAGGCAGAGGUGGGGAAUAUUGCACAAUGGGCGCAAGCCUGAUGCAGCAACGCCGCGUGAGGGAUGACGGCCUUCGGGUUGUAAACCUCUUUUAGUAGGGAAGAAGCGAAAGUGACGGUACCUGCAGAAAAAGCACCGGCUAACUACGUGCCAGCAGCCGCGGUAA